UUGAAGGUCCAACCGACGGACCAGAGCUACGGCCGCCAGACAACUGGGGCCCGGAGCGGACGGGCGGUGCAGCACGGCGCGGGUGCUCCCGCCUACACCUUUCCGGUGGUGACGCCGGCCGGGCUACGCGAGCACGGCCGUGGUGGGCGAGAAGGGAGCACUCGAGAUGAGCUGCCGUCUGCCGAGGGCAGAGGGCAUCGCACCGGUGGAGGGAUCAGGGAGACAGGAUCGGGCAGGGCGAUGGCCUGCGGGCAAUCAGCAGGCUGCGGCGGCAGGGAUCGAGUCACUGCGAGCGGUGUUGUGCCUCAUGGAGGCGGCGGUGUGCCGGUGUCGGCAGGAGCGGAGACGACGGACCAACGGUCCCCCGUCUGGCGGCGUCUCGCCUCGACCAGGCGGCGCCGGGCGGUGGCCGACGACCGACCCAAGCACAAACAGCGGGCGCCGAGCUGCAGACGAGCGCAAGCGCUCGACCAGUCCCGCGAGCCGACGCCGCCAUCCAUUGCCGGCGCGUCCCUGUUCUCUCUGUCGCCGUCCCUGUCGUUCACGGCUCUACCUAUACGCUAA
rnacentral:misc_RNA from 1 species